UGUGCUUAUUUUGGGCAAACCAAGAGGGAGGGAAAUAGGAGAGAUUUUGAAAACAUUGAAAAUGGGAUCAAGCAAUCAAACAUUCCUUUAUGUUUAAUUUCUUGGUGCAGGUCAGAGUGUAUAUAGAUGAUUACUCAAUGUCCAUGUUGGACUUCAUUGAUUGGCUCAGCACUAAGUAGGGAGAGAGUAUUGUUUUUUGUAUCUCUCCUCGCUUUAUUUUGGCCUUUUGGCAUCUUUUGUACACUAUAUAUACUUUUUGUGCACUUUUUUAGGAGAUGUUUUUAAUAGAAUUGAUCUUUGCCUAGAAAAAAGGAAAAAAAAAAUCUUCAGUGACAGACAUCCAGGAAGUUAUUAAAAAAAAAAAAAAAAAAGAGCUUCUUUUGUAGAUCCAUUAGCAUUCUUGUUCUGUCCUAAAAGUCUGGCAUUUUUUCUCUUACCAAAUGACCCAUAAUGUUGCUAGAAUAACCUUUCUCCGUAAAACCAUCUUCCUGUGACUGCUUCUAAACCCCUGGAAGAGAUAGUUGACAUGUCUGAAAUGGAAACAUGGAUUGUUUUUACAGAGUUGAUACAAGAUAAUGGUUAACCAGCCAAUGGUGGUAGGAUUUAGACAAAGGUGGAAUUUAGAAGUCAGUGGGCACUGUUAUUUUGAAAGAAGAUUCUAUGUUGAGGAUAGACUUUAUGACUGGAAAGUAUUCUAAAAUAUGCGUAGAAAUUCAGGAUAAGUUUGUUCUUCUGAUAAAUUAAUCUGCACAUUGAGACUUUAUAGACUAAGGAUACAUGAAAGACUCAAAGACGCAUUCUUGUGAUUUUAUACCAGACUUAAGUUGGACUGUAUUAAAUGGAUUAGAUUUAUAGUUAAGUGGGCAUAUGGUACAAUAUAUGCAAAGUGAUGUAUCACAGUUUGAGUCAUAAGCUGCCAUCUCUUGUUUCAGAAACCAACUAUUUUGUGGUUGUGUGCUUAAGUAUCAUUUCAAUAUCCUGAUAAUAUAAAAUUGACUGGUGAGCUUUCAUUCUUUCCUAGUACUGCUGAGCCCUCAUUCUUGCUUCUUGUACCUUGAAAGCUUUAACCAUAUUGCUCCUCCUUGGUGUAAUACCUGUUAAUUGUCUUCUUCCUCUCAUAUUUUUGGCGUGCCCUUCCAAGUUCUACCAUAUGCAUUCUUUAUUGGUGAAUUCUUCAAUUAUCUACACAUAAGCACAUGUCAAAGGCAGUGAGCCUUAAUAUAUGGGAGACAUACACAGAAUACCUAAAAGAAAGGAUAUGUGAUUCAUAAUAAAAGAAAGCAACAGACAAGAAAAACACGAUCUAUGAAACAAAAAGCAGAACAGAUGAAGGCGAGAUUCCCCUCCAUGAAAAAGGCCAUCAAUGAAGUCCCUAAAGGAACAGUUCUGGGCUUAUCUUAAGGUUGAAGUCCAAAGGGAUAAGGAUGUAGCCAGGUUGCCUUCAGCCUUGUAAUUGUAUACUUGCCCCUCAAAAAUCCUUCUCUUGUGCUCAUUCUAAAGGGCCAAAAUGAACAUAAAGGUAGGUCUCCACUCUUACAUUUUAUUUAUUACACACUUCCCAUGCCAAUUGGUAAUGACUUCCUAUACCAGUCAGGAGGCACUUGCACUGCACUGAAGAGUAAUAAAAAAAUAAUAAUUAAGAUUGGAGCUGUAUACUCAUUGGAUAAUGGGAAAGAAUGUGGUUGUGUGACUUCUUAUUCCUUCUGCACAAACUACAUUUAUUUGCAUAGUAGAAGCCCCACUUCAUCAACUGUUCAAUGGUAAAGAUUUACCCAUUCUGCUUCCCGCGGAAGGAACAUCACUUUGGAUGGAACAAUUGCCAACCAAAUUUCUUGAGUUGGAAACUUCCUGUCCACUUAAAAUUGUUGGAUAACUUUCUAUCCCCUCCUAAUGCUCUUCAACAACCUUGGAGAAAUUUACUGCUUUUAUUAAUUUAAUUUAAUUUUGUCUCCCAGGCUCUCCUGGAAGAAACAAAAGGAGCUGUGGUUAAUCAGAAACCUCUCUGAGGGAGGGGGUUUGGUUUGGGUGUCUCUGGUAGAUUGAAUUUUAUGAGUUUAAUGGAUUUAGGAUCAAUUCAAAUGUGGGAAAGUUCUCAAAAUUUUCAUGACAAUCAGAUGCAAGCUUUAAAAAAUCUAUCUAUAUGUGCCAUAUUGUUUGCAUUGAAUUUCUGGUCUAAUAACUUUCAUCCUCUUCUUUGUUGCCUUUAGAGCUCAUUCUCAUAAAGUAUAAAGUUGGUUAGUAGCUAGUGUGAUUUUUUCCUCUUGCCGAUUUGGCAUGCGCUAUGUUGUGUUUGAAACAGGUCAGCAACUAGGUGGACCAUUAUGGUGUUUGUCAUUUUAUGACAUCAAAAUAGCAGAAAAAUUGAAUUACAAAAUAGGGGAAGGGUACUUUGGCUGGUUGACUCCAUCAACUCUGAAAUUGACAUGGAUGGCAAAAAUUGUUAUCUUUUUAUUUCUUGGAUUGUCCGAUGCCGAAAAGGCUUUUUAAAAAAUAACCUGCCAGUUCGUUCACCUUUGAAUCCUUGAACUGUUCUCUUGUCGAAUCUCAUGUUUUGGACUUGAUAAUUGUAUAGUGUUAAAAACAUGCAAAAAUACUGACUCUAAAUAAGACGGGCACAGUUUUUGCAAUGCAUCAACCUUGAAAAAGCAAGAAAAAUGACACUAAGGUGGUGUUUGUUUUUUUGGCUUUUUGCUGAAAACAAUUUAGUUUUAGAAUUUAAGUUGUUUGUUUUUCUACUUUUUCAUGACUUAUUAUAAACUUUUUACUAAAUAAAAAAAGCCAAAAUAUGUAGCUUUUUCUAAAUAGAAAAAAUAACAUAUUAGUUUUUUUUACUUUUUAAUACUUAAUAGAAAUAAAAUACUACAAAAAUAAACAACCUAAUAUUUAAUACUAUUAAGCAUUAAAGUUCUAUUUAGAAUUAAGUAAAAAAACAAACACCACCUAACUUUGCUUUAUCCUCUGUUCUCUAUAGUUGAGCAAGGGCAGGAUGCUGGUGCUUCUGGGUUUGAAGGAAGAGUAUUGAGCAUGCAAAUGGUUUGAGGAAAUUUGCUUGCUCAUGAAUCAUAAUUGUCAGCCAUUGCGCCCAAAACUGGCCUCUGAUGUGAUGACUUUGUGGGGAACUUGUUACUUUUUGUGCAUAUUGUUGACAAAUAAGAUUUUAGGAUCAAGGUGCAUUGGUUACAAGCUCCAAAAAAAUAGCAUUCUUGCUGCCGGGUCUUGACUUACACAUUGGGUCAAUGUGCUUUGAAUUAAUAUGGAAUUUGAAAUUUUAGCUUUGCAAAAUAAUGUGGGUGCAUUAGGGGUGAUCUUGAUAAUCUACUUGGAGCUUGAUUGGAAGUAAGAGUCUGUUCUGUUUCAAAGCAACUCUUGGAAAGAUUUUAGUGGGGUCUUGAUGUUUAGGAACGCUUUUCUUACAAAGAUUAGGUGUGUCAAAAUUUUAAAAAGCGCUUUUUUAAUUUUAAAAAGCGCUUUUAUAUUAUAUAACACAUCAUUAAUUUUUGAAAACUAUUUUUAAAAUUAUAAAGAAUUACUUCAAACAAUUCUUUCAAAAUUACCAUUAUAUUAUAUACAACAUCAUUAAAAAAAAGUGUC
rnacentral:lncRNA from 1 species